rnacentral:rRNA from 1 species
UACGAAGGGGGCUAGCGUUGCUCGGAAUCACUGGGCGUAAAGGGUGCGUAGGCGGGUCUUUUAAGUCAGGGGUGAAAUCCUGGAGCUCAACUCCAGAACUGCCUUUGAUACUGAGGAUCUUGAGUUCGGGAGAGGUGAGUGGAACUGCGAGUGUAGAGGUGAAAUUCGUAGAUAUUGGGAGGAACACCAGUGGCGAAGGCGGCUCACUGGACCGGAACUGACGCUGAGGCGCGAAAAGCGUGGGG